AGAGUUUGAUCAUGGCUCAGAAUGAACGCUGGCGGCGUGCUUAACACAUGCAAGUCGCACGAGAAAGCUUCAGCUUGCUGGAGCAAGUAAAGUGGCGCACGGGUGAGUAACGCGUGGGUAAUCUGCCCUUGAAUUGGGGAUAACCCGCCGAAAGGCGUGCUAAUACCGAAUAAUGUCUUAAAGACCGUGGUUUUUGAGACCAAAGGUAGCCUCUAGAAGUAAGCUACUGUUUGAGGAUGAGCCCGCGUACCAUUAGCUAGUUGGUAGGGUAACGGCCUACCAAAGCGACGAUGGUUAGCUGGUCUGAGAGGAUGAUCAGCCACACUGGAACUGACACACGGUCCAGACUCCUACGGGAGGCAGCAGUGAGGAAUUUUGCGCAAUGGGGGAAACCCUGACGCAGCAACGCCGCGUGAGUGAUGAAGGCCUUCGGGUCGUAAAGCUCUGUCAAGUGGGAAGAACCUGCAUAAUGUGAAGAGCAUUUUGCACUGACGGUACCACUGAAGGAAGCACCGGCUAACUCCGUGCCAGCAGCCGCGGUAAUACGGGGGGUGCAAGCGUUAUUCGGAAUCAUUGGGCGUAAAGCGCGCGUAGGCGGUCUCUUAAGUCAGAUGUGAAAGCCCGGGGCUUAACCCCGGAAGUGCAUUUGAAACUCAGGGACUUGAGUAUGGGAGAGGGAAGUGGAAUUCCUGGUGUAGCGGUGAAAUGCGUAGAUAUCAGGAGGAACACCAGUGGCGAAGGC
rnacentral:rRNA from 1 species